AGUAUUGACUGUGUUAGAUAUUUCUCUUGAAUUAUUUGCACAAUAACCCUAUGGUGUGGGGUCUAAUUUUAUCUGUUUUAUGGAGAAGAAACUGGAAGUCAGCAAGAAAGCUGAAAUAACUUGCCCAAGGUCACUCAGCUAAGUGGUGGAGCUGGGCUUCAAGCCCAGGCGGCCCUACUCCAAGCUCAAGUUCUUAGCUAAGGUGCUUCCCUAGACCCCAGCUUGAAGUGGCAGUACAAAACGAAAGUGAGUCUUUCCCCCUCCCCAAAGGAAGGGACUGUGUGACCUGGAGAGUAAGAGGGAAGAUCCGUGAGAGGAAGAACUAAAGGGGUCGGGAUGAGAGACUUUAGGAACUGCUGGAUGCGAGUGGUGGCAACUGCUCGUUUCUCUCCCUCUCAAGCUACUCAGCUCCUGUUCUUCACGUGGACAAGUGUAACUGAGGCUCACCCUCUCCAGCCUGCAGAAGGUUUGUGCAAGCCCACGCUAUGGCCCUGACAUCACCUCUGUGAGCAACGUGGUACUUUUGCAGAACUACAGUCCUCCAGGGACUUCAAUUUGUAUGGGAAUGACAAGCACAGACGAAAGAAAAGUGAAGUGUAGGUUUGAGCUCCCAUUGCCCCACUCCCAAGUCAGUUUCCUAUGAAGCUAUAAAACUAAAGCUUCAGAGUCUCUCACUGGCACCAGCCCUACUCAAAGCCCCAUACCUGGUAUUACAUUAGUAACUACACACACAUUUAGAUAUGUUUUUCUUAGAGAGCUUCCCUUCCAACCAUAUAUGAUUCAGGACCCCAUCAAACCUGUCCCCUCCCCUCCCCUCUAAUCAGCUAAAUGUCAGAGUCCCACAACCCCCUGAGAAACACCAGUGAAACCCUCUCCUCCUGGAGCCCUCCCACACAGUAUGAGCCUUGAUUGAAGGUGUGAUUCAGCUCGGAGUAGCUGGGUUAAGUUUUUGUAAAGAGGUUGCCGGGUGUGCACUUUAGUAGACCUCAAAGCCACCAGAAGGUAGGAGCUUAGUGUACUUUCUUUGUAACGAUGACUCUCUAUGAUUUCUAUCCAUAGAUAGAAGCUUGCAGGCACCGAUACGAUUCCACAAAGACAUACAAAGUGACUAUUUACAUACGAGUCCAUGAGCUCCUGACCAUCCACGUGUGUGGACAUACGUAAGCAUUCCUGUGUGCCAACGCUUCUUAGAUCUGUUCCAUCAACCUCCAUCCUGGACGUGGCCCAUUUCUUCACACCUACCCAGCCUUCACCAAGGUUUGCUGGCUGUAAUGAUACAGUUCAGCUAGCUGAAGCAGAGAAGGGGUAUUUACUGCAAGGAUCUUGGAGGGUUCCAGAAGAUUCAUGGACCGAGAUGCUGCAGAUCACUGAGGGGCUGGUACCAGGAACGUGAGUCAUCAGAAUGCCAGGCCUCAGUCUCUCACUCACUGAGGCCACAUGGCCACUCUUUUCUGCUUUCCUCAGCACUCCUGCAUUCUGCUCUCUCCCCAGGCCUGAUUUUUCUGCAUUCUGAGCGGUUUGUAAAAGACUGCAACUACACAGUGCCAGAGGCUCUUGUCUUUAAUUCAAAGGAUCAGAAAAAAUUGAUUAAUGCUCUGAAGUCUCUAAUCCCAGUUCCUGGGAGAGAGACUAAUGGCUCAGUCCAGGUCAGGUGUCCACCCUCCAAUCAGCCACAUCCAGGGGACCAGGGUCACACUGGGGACACACCAUAAAUGGUGUCCCAAGUCAAAUGGUUUGUUCUCCCUGAAAACCCUUAGCUAAUCUUAUGGGAGAAGUCCCCUCUCCCCUGGGUUCCCAUAGCACUUUAUCUGCCCCUCUCCCAUGGAACUUAUUGCUUCUUACCUUGUGUCAAUAUUGCUGUUAUAAAAAUCUUAUCCACCAUCCCACAUAUCCAUAACUUUCUUGUUCAUUUAUCUUCAUAUAUCUCACAGCUCGUGCAAACCAAAAAUUGAACAUGUGAUCAAUAAGUAGUUUAAAUUAUGAUAAUCUCCAAAUAAAUCAAUUUUCAGGAAACUUAA